rnacentral:rRNA from 1 species
UACGUAGGGAGCAAGCGUUGUCCGGAAUCAUUGGGCGUAAAGCGCGCGUCGGCGGCCCCGUAAGUCCGCUGUGAAAGUCGGGGGCUCAACCCUCGGAUGCCGGUGGAUACUGUCGGGCUUGAGUACGGAAGAGGCGAGUGGAAUUCCUGGUGUAGCGGUGAAAUGCGCAGAUAUCAGGAGGAACACCAAUUGCGAAGGCAGCUCGCUGGGACGUUACUGACGCUGAGACGCGAAAGCGUGGGGAGCAAACAGG